GCAUAUCAAUAAGCGGAGGAAAAGAAACUAACAAGGAUUCCCCAUAGUAACGGCGAGCGAAGCGGGAAGAGCUCAAAUUUGAAAGCUGGCGUCUUCGGCGUCCGCGUUGUAAUCUCGAGACGUGUUUUCCGUGCGGCUCUAUGGACAAGUCCCUUGGAACAGGGCAUCGUAGAGGGUGAAAAUCCCGUACUUGCCAUGGAAGUACCGUGCUUUGUGAUACACGCUCCAAGAGUCGAGUAGUUUGGGAUUGCUGCUCAAAGUGGGUGGUAGACUCCAUCUAAAGCUAAAUAUCGGGGAGAGACCGAUAGCGAACAAGUACCGUGAGGGAAAGAUGAAAAGCACUUUGGAAAGAGAGUUAAAAGUACGUGAAAUUGUCGAAAGGGAAGCACUUGAAGUCAGCCAUGCUGCUUGAGACUCAGCCUGGCUUUUGCUUGGUGUAUUUCUCGGUAGCAAGCCAGCAUUGGUUUGUGUCGUCGGAGAAGCGUAUGGGGAAUGUGGCAUCCUCGGAUGUGUUAUAGCCCUGUGCAGGAUACGACGACGUAGACCAAGGAACGCAGUGUGCCCUCUGGGCGGGUCUUCGGACACCUUCACACUUAGGAUGCUGGCGUAAUGGCUUUAAGUGGCCCGUCUUGA
rnacentral:rRNA from 1 species